rnacentral:rRNA from 1 species
AUCGAACGCUGGCGGCAGGCCUAACACAUGCAAGUCGAGCGAGCGGCGGACGGGUGAGUAAUGCCUGGGAAUUGCCCAGUCGAGGGGGAUAACAGUUGGAAACGACUGCUAAUACCGCAUACGAUUUGAUGGCCCAGGUGGGAUUAGCUCGUUGGUGCGGUAAUGGCUCACCAAGGCGACGGUCCCUAGCUGGUCUGAGGGGAUGAUCAGCCACACUGGAACUGAGACACGGCCCAGACUCCUACGUGAGGCAGCAGUGGGGAAUAUUGCACAAUGGGUGAAACCCUGAUGCAGCCAUGCCGCGUGUGUGAAGAAGGCCUUCGGGUUGUAAAGCACUUUCAGCGAGGAGGCGUUACUCGCAGAAGAAGCACCGGCUAACUCCGUGCCAGCCGCCGCGGUAAUUC